UAGCGUAGGGGGCUAGCGUUGUCCGGAAUCAUUGGGCGUAAAGCGCGUGUAGGCGGUCCGGUAAGUCCGCUGUGAAAGUCGGGGGCUUAACCCUCGAAUGCCGGUGGAUACUGUCGGGCUAGAGUGCGGAAGAGGCGAGUGGAAUUCCUGGUGUAGCGGUGAAAUGCGCAGAUAUCAGGAGGAACACCAAUUGCGAAGGCAGCUCGCUGGGACGUUACUGACGCUGAGACGCGAAAGCGUGGGGAGCAAACAGG
rnacentral:rRNA from 1 species